CUUUUUGUUUCUGUCCACACCCCUGGCGUCUCGGCCUGCCGCUUUAAUGGCUUUCUUGUUUAAUUUGACAGCGGUAGCACCAGCUCUCUGCAGGUGGAAGUAACGGGACAGAUGAAGAAAAGGAGUUUGCACUUUGAAUUGUAUUUUGACUUGAAGCAAGGAUCCAUCUAUGUUGCCUUUCAUGAUCUGCUCUGGGACCAACAGCCAGCCUGAAAGCGAACGUUCAGUGUCAAGUGGCUUCCAGUUCUGCAGAGCACCCUUUCAUCAUGCUGAAAUGCGACUGGCCUCCUGUGUCUUCUCUCCCCAGGCAUUGCUCUUAUUUCACCUGGUUCUUGUCUGUCCCAUUUUGUGCAGUCAUUUCUAGGCUCCUUUGAAAUUUCAUGCCCCCCCCCCUUUUUUAAAUCAAGAUUGCCUAAUAAAAAAUAAUGGUAAGAUUUCAAGCCUGA